rnacentral:rRNA from 1 species
AUGGAAAGUAAUUUUCUUUCUGGAAGCAUACCUUCUACCAUUGGAAAGCUGCAAAACCGAUAUGUCCUAAAUCUAUCAAAGAACAAAUUAUCAGGUCAGAUCCCUCCCUCAGUCGGUGACAUUACUCAACUGGGCAAGCUUUAUCUUGAUGAUAACAACUUGAGUGGAAACAUACCUGAUAGUUUAGGUCAGUGCAAGGGACUUCUUGAACUAAACUUGUCUACUAACAGCCUUGAUGGGUCAAUACCAGUCAAACUUUUUGAUCGCCCUCCACUUUCCUUGGGUGUGGACUUUUCGUACAACAAGCUCAUAGGAGAAAUACAAUCAGAAGUUGGUAAUUUGGCAAAUCUUGCUCUUCUGAAUGUUUCCAACAAUAUGUUGUUUGGAACGAUUCCUGAAGCUCUUGGAAGCUAUCUUACUUUAUUGUUCUUGCGCAUGGAGAAAAACAUGCUUGAAGGGCAAAUUCCUCAAAGUUUCAGGAAGUUGCGGUCCAUCCAGCAGAUUAAUCUAGCUCGAAAUAUUUUAUCUGGUUCAGUGCCAGAAUUCUUUGGCGACCUCACUUUGUUGGACAAGCUGGAUCUAUCGUAG